CAUUUAGAAAUUAAUCACUAAUGACAUAUGGCUCAAAUUCUCAACUCUUGAGAAUAUGCAUCAUCUUAUUAAUUUCUUGGACGAUUCAUAGACACAUAAACAAUAUGAAUGAAAAAGAUGGCCAUUUAUUAUUCAAUAAUAAUAAAGUCAAGUACAAUACUAUGUCCCACAAUUAAUAAUGUGUCAGCCAGAUUGGCUUCUAGGGCAUAUAUCUAACAAUUCGAGGUAGAAGAACUCUUC
rnacentral:lncRNA from 1 species